AGUAGUCCUGGCAUUGGCUGAAAAGUAUGGCCGAUCUCCAGCUCAGAUCUUGCUCAGGUGGCAGGUCCAGCGGAAAGUGAUCUGCAUCCCCAAAAGUAUCACUCCUUCUCGAAUCCUUCAGAACAUCAAGGUGUUUGACUUCACCUUUAGCCCAGAAGAGAUGAAGCAGCUAAAUGCCCUGAACAAAAAUUGGAGAUAUAUUGUGCCUAUGCUUACGGUGGAUGGGAAGAGAGUCCCAAGGGAUGCAGGGCAUCCUCUGUACCCCUUUAAUGACCCGUACUGAGACCACAG
rnacentral:misc_RNA from 1 species